UAAUCCUAUCAAUACAUGUAAAUAAUUAUUGUAAAAUCCAGUUUUUCAUCUUCUCGUGGUCAUCAGAUGUGACCCAUUUGGACGUUGAAAGGCUCUGUGGUUACCAUGGAAACACCGUCAUCUUCUCCAACAUUGAUUCACCAGUAAAACCCAUGGAGUUGGAUCAAUGAUAGUGGAUGGACACACUUGUUUUGUAGUCAGUUAAUGGUAUAUUUUACUGAAAAAGUCACUUUUUCUUCAGUUUCCUCUGUUUUUGAUCUAAUGACCCUCAACGUUAAUUUCAGCUUUUACGAG